CGAACGGGUGAGUAACACGUGGGCAACCUGCCCAAAAGAGGGGGAUAACACUUGGAAACAGGUGCUAAUACCGCAUAACCAUAGUUACCGCAUGGUAACUAUGUAAAAAGUGGCUAUGCUACCGCUUUUGGAUGGGCCCGCGACGCAUUAGCUAGUUGGUGGGGUAAAGGCUUACCAAGGCAAUGAUGCGUAGCCGAACUGAGAGGUUGAUCGGCCACAUUGGGACUGAGACACGGCCCAAACUCCUACGGGAGGCAGCAG
rnacentral:rRNA from 1 species